rnacentral:lncRNA from 1 species
GAAAAGAAAUGCAAAAAAGCAAAAUGGCUGUCUGGGGAGGCCUUACAAAUAGCUGUGAAAAGAAGAGAAGCAAAAAGCAAAGGAGAAAAGGAAAAAUAUAAACAUCUGAAUGCAGAGUUCCAAAGAUUAGCAAGAAGAGAUAAGAAAGCCUUCUUCAGCCAUCAAUGCAAAGAAAUAGAGGAAAACAACAGAAUGGGAAAGACUAGGGAUCUCUUCAAGAAAAUCAGAGAUACCAAAGGAACAUUUCAUGCAAAGAUGGGCUCGUUAAAGGACAGAAAUGGUAUGGACCUAACAGAAGCAGAAGAUAUUAAGAAGAGAUGGCAAGAAUACACAGAAGAACUGUACAAAAAAGAUCUUCACGACCCAGAUAAUCACGAUGGUGUGAUCACUCACCUAGAGCCAGACAUCCUGGAAUGUGAAGUCAAGUGGGCCUUAGAAAGCAUCACUAUGAACAAAGCUAGUGGAGGUGAUGGAAUUCCAGUUGAGCUAUUCCAAAUCCUGAAAGAUGAUGCUGUGAAAGUGCUGUACUCAAUAUGCCAGCAAAUUUGGAAAACUCAGCAGUGGCCACAGGACUGGAAAAGGUCAGUUUUCAUUCCAAUCCCAAAGAAAGGCAAUGCCAAAGAAUGCUCAAACUACCGCACAAUUGCACUCAUCUCACACGCUAGUAAAGUAAUGCUCAAAAUUCUCCAAGCCAGGCUUCAGCAAUAUAUGAACUGUGAACUUGCUGAUGUUCAAGCUGGUUUUAGAAAAGGCAGAGGAACCAAAGAUCAAAUUGCCAACAUCCGCUGGAUCAUGGAAAAAGCAAGAGAGUUCCAGAAAAACAUCUAUUUCUGCUUUAUUCACUAUGCCAAAGCCUUUGACUGUGUGGAUCACAAUAAACUGUGGAAAAUUCUUCAAGAGAUGGGAAUACCAGACCACCUGAUCUGUCUCUUGAGAAAUUUGUAUGCAGGUAAGGAAGUAACGGUUAGAACUGGACAUGGAACAACUGGUUCCAAAUAGGAAAAGGAGUACGUCAAGGCUG